rnacentral:rRNA from 1 species
GGCGAACGGGUGAGUAACACGCGAGUAACCUGCCCUUGACUUUGGGAUAACUUCAGGAAACUGGGGCUAAUACCGGAUAGGAGCUCCUGCUGCAUGGUGGGGGUUGGAAAGUUUCGGCGGUUGGGGAUGGACUCGCGGCUUAUCAGCUUGUUGGUGGGGUAGUGGCUUACCAAGGCUUUGACGGGUAGCCGGCCUGAGAGGGUGACCGGCCACAUUGGGACUGAGAUACGGCCCAG